UACGAAGGGGGCUAGCGUUGCUCGGAAUCACUGGGCGUAAAGCGCACGUAGGCGGCUUCUUAAGUCAGGGGUGAAAUCCUGGGGCUCAACCCCAGAACUGCCUUCGAUACUGGCGGUCUCGAGUCCGGGAGAGGUGAGUGGAACUCCUAGUGUAGAGGUGAAAUUCGUAGAUAUUAGGAAGAACACCAGUGGCGAAGGCGGCUCACUGGCCCGGUACUGACGCUGAGGUACGAAAGCGUGGGGAGCAAACAGG
rnacentral:rRNA from 1 species